rnacentral:rRNA from 1 species
GACGAACGCUGGCGGCGUGCCUAAUACAUGCAAGUCGAGCGAGCGGCGGACGGGUGAGUAAUGUAUGGGGACUGCCCGAUAGAGGGGGAUAACUACUGGCAACGGUGGCUAAUACCGCAUACUAUCGGAUAACCCAUAUGGGAUUAGCUAGUAGUUGGGGUAAAGGCUCACCUAGGCGACGAUGUCUCGCUGGUCUGAGAGGAUGAUCAGCCACACUGGGACUGAGACACGGCCCAGACUCCUACGGAGGCAGCAGGGGGGAAGAUUGCACAAUGGGCGCAAGCCUGAUGCAGCCAUGCCGCGUGUAUGAAGAAGGCCUUAGGGUUGUAAAGUACGUUCAGCGGGGAGGCGUUACCCGCAGAAGAAGCACCGGCUAACUCCGUGCCAGCAGCCGCGGUAAUAC